ACUCCUUUGUUAAGGAGCAGGAAACUGGACUUCAUGGGGAGGUCCAAAAUGUACCAGGCUUUUUUUAUACUGAGCACAAGACAGUUUCAUACUGGAAGUAAAAACUGAAGAAGUAAUACAUGUUGAUUUGAAUAUUCUUUCAUUCUGAGCUUUAUCUCUUUUCUAAUAAUGUUCUGAAAAAGACUAAAAUGAUAAUAGAAAUAUUGCAAUGCAUGGCAUAUGUAAUCAAUAACAAUGAUCAAGUGCAUAAUCAACAAUGAAUGAUAACAUUUAAUGGGUUUUUGAAUUGAACUUAUGUAAAAUCUGAGAUCUUUGGGAACAAAAGUAGUUCAACUGCUACACAUUUUAACAACUUUAAUUUAAUAUUUUAAUCAAAACAUAUCUUUAAAUUGAAAGUAGACAGAGCAUUUGCUGAUUUGCUGUUAAUAUUGUUUUGUGACUGGUAUCGGGAUUUAGAAAACAAGUUUUAUAAAAACAGCACUGCUUUACUAGAGCCUUAGUUUUACAUCCUGCAGCGAGUUAUGAUUUGUGUGGAGUUUGAAUGCUCUCCCUGUGUUUUCAUGGGUUUUUCUACAGGUUCUUUAAUUUUCCUACCGUAUUGCAAGACUUGCAUGUUAGCUCAUUUUAAAUUAGCCUCAUGUAGGUCUGUGCCUCAGAGUGGAUUGACACUAAGCAGUUUUCUAAAUGCAACAUCAAAAUCUGAUUUACUCACAUUUUAGUUAAAAGUAGGCCCAUAAUCAAUAUUGCUGGCUAACUGUCAAGAAUAACUGAACAUGUUUAAAGAUCCUGCUGACAAUUAAAAAUUGCAUGUCUUAGUUCCAGAGAAAAUUUAAUUGUUUCCUCACUACUAUAGUAAUGUAGGUUUAAUAGUUAAUUUUAUAAUUGAUUUUCUCAUGAUUUUCUUGAUGAUUUAGCUAUGAUUAUAUUUUCUGUGCUACUUGAUUCAUUCUUUUAUUGUUAAAUUCAAUCAAUCAAUAAAUAAAUGCAUUAAAUCAAAA